UGUUUCAACGUGCAAUGGUUAGUUAAAGGAAACCAAGAAACAAGAUAAAUCGUACAUUAAAAAGGAGGAAGGUUUUACUUGAACGAUUUCCUCCGACAUGGAUACACACCGAGGUAGAUUGUGAUUCCUUGGAAGGAAUCUAAUUUGAGUCUUAGUAUCCACCCUCAUUUGCUCAAUGAUCACCCUACCCUUCCCCAACAAACACCCCACAUGCAUCCUCGCCACAACAAGCUUGGUCGCUACCCUACCCCCACCACCGCCACCACCACCUCUCGGCUCAUAAUCUUUGUCAUCGUCACUAGUGCUUCCAUCGCAUCCAAACCCAAAUGCAGAAUCACUGUCGAGUAUCCUUUCAUGAAUCAUGAGCAGAGCCUCCUGCGCUAGUGAGAAAGACGGGAUACGUCUAUCGGGGUCCCGCUAUUAGGAGAAUACCUGAAUUGGUUGAAGCAAGUUGCAAUGAGGAUUACACUUGCGAUGAAAUUUGUUAUGAAUCUAUUACGGUGAAGGAUCUGGAAUGCCAUGUCAGCUCCUUAUAAUAAAUGUGGAUAUAUAUUUGAUAAUUUUAAUACAAGAGACACAAUUUCUUUGCCAUUUUGUCUUGUUACCAAUUUAUAUGGUAUCAAAGCUCCAGGCUCUCAUAGAAAUCUCCGAUUCUUGACUCCAGCCCUCUUCCUGGUUCUUGAUUCGAAUCCUCUUCCGUCAAUGUCAAGAAUGGCCAUACGUCAAGAAUGGCCAUGAAUGGAAGUGGAAACACUGUGUUCACUAUCACUUAUCAGAUCUCCUCUUUCGUUGAUCAGAAUUCAUCAUUCUACCUCCAUCCUUCGUUUUCGUUUGAACUUUGAAGCGUCAAGCGUAGAAGCUUUCGAAGGUUAGGGUUCAAUGCCUCUGUGCCUCCAUCGCUUCAUCCUCAGUCUCGCCGGCGGACAACGGUAUUUCGUUUGAAGCUUCGAAUGAACUCCAGCCGUAUUUCCCUUUCUCCGGAAAUCUUCCUCUUUCCCUCUCACUUUCUCCAAUGACAGAGCUUCUUCUUCUCUCAGUGCCCUCUCACUUUCUCUAUUGACAGCAGUACAACACUCUCUUCUCUCAAUGCCCUCUCACUUUCUCUAGUGACAGCAGUACAACACUCUCUCUUCUCUCGAUGCCUCUCACUUUCUCCGGCGGCGACAACACUCCCUCUUCACUCAGGCAAUCAUAUUUUGGUGAUUUUUUUCUCUUGCAUCUUGCUCUCAAGUGAUAGUCUCCUCUGACCUCUGCAAUUUGUUCAUUCAGGUAUCCUCUGUCAUUAGAACCUAGCAUAGAGUUUGGUAGAUACUCUCCUAAUUUUAAUUGUAGACAGCAAUACAUGGUUCUGUUUCAAUAUUUGUUUGCUACAGCCUGAAUGUUUCUUGGAAUAUGCUCUCAGUCUGAAUGUUUCUUGGAAUAUCUUGAAUAUUUAUGUUUGAAUAUUCAAUGGUUCUGUUGAAUAUUUCUUGGAAUGCCAAUGGUUCUGUUUGAAUAUUUGUUUGCUACAAUGUUUGGUAGAACCUAGCACAGAGUUUGCUACAGUCUGAAUAUUUGUUUGCUACAGCCUGAGAUUUGAAUUUUGAAUUUCUAAUUUUGUGCCAUUAAAUAUUUUUAUCAGAAAUAUAACCUUGCAAUUGAUGAGAUUUGAACUUAAGUCACCCAAACGCAACGCAAAUAAAUAAUAGUACAUUUAUGUUUAACUAAAAAUUAAAAAUAAUAAUCUUCAAAAUCAAUAUUUUAUAAACAUUAACAGAAAUGGAUAAAUCUAUCAAAUGUCAUAUUUAUGUAUCUUAUAAAUUCUAAUAGAUUUGAUGUAUUAAGUUAAAAUUAAAUAUUUUUUUCCUUGGGGAAAAUAUAUGCUAUCAGAAAGACAUGAUACUGAAAGGGCUUUGACCAAUCAAACCCUCCCAUGAAUUUUGAUAAAUAUGAUCUGAUUGGAUACCAGUUUUAUGAUAUUGAUUGAUUGGUGAUUUGGUUUUAGGUUUUUUUCGGUAUCAUAGUUGAACCCUUUUUCUUGUUCUUAAAUUUGGUAUUCAAUUGCAUUUUCUUUUUAAUUUUACACUAGAAGAGGCAUAUUCAAUGCACAAGUUGUAAACAGUGAAGGGAUUUAUAAUUGUAUCCUUGUAAAUGGAGGUGUCAAUGGACCGGGUUUGGUUGGACCUUAUUCGAAUCAAAACCAAUUUGGACAGGCUGGACAGUCCAAUAAGACAAUGUUGAAUUGGACUAGUCCAGACCUAAUUAACAUGGUCCAUUUUUAAUGGGCUCAUAUUGGAGCAGAUCAAAUUAGACCAAUGUCCUAUCCAUUGACAGCCUUGUUUGUAAACAAUCUAUUAGGCUUUCUUAUUGUUCAUGUUAAUGUGAAAAUUAAUUUAUUUCUUUUCUUAAUGCAUUAAGGAUGGAUAAACCAAGUGCUGAAAAUGCAAGUGUGCCUAAAAACCCAAGUGAAUCAUCUAUGGCAUCUAGCACUACUGGAAAGAGGGUUAGGUCCUAAGCAUGGAAGCAUUUUAAGAAUAUAAAAUUGUAUUCUAGGGAGCAAAGAGCUAUUUGUAAACAUCGCAGAAAACAAUAUAUAGGUGGAAGUUCUAAAGGAACGAGCCACAUUUUAGGGCAUGUACCAAAAUGUCCUAAAUUAAAACAAAUGGGCACAAGUGAACAAGAAGUUGUAGAAAACUUCAAAUUUGACCAACAUAGGAACCGAAUGGACUUAGCAAAGAUGAUAAUAAAGCAUGAGCAUCCUUUUAGUAUAGUUGAAGAAGAGUUUUUUCAAAUAUUUGUCAAUAAUUUUCAACCAUCAUUUAAGCUUGUUUCCCGAAAUACAAUAAAGAAUUAUGUCAUGAAGAUUUACUUGGAUGAAAAGGUUGUACAAAUACUUUGAUGGGUUGGAUUGUAGGAUUAGCUUAACCACCGAUAUGUGGACUUUGGAACAAAAUUUGGGGUAUCGUUGUUUAACAACACACUUUAUAGAUGAUGGAUGGGAGCUGAAAAAGAAAACUAUUGCAUUUGUGGCGAUUGAGUGUCCCCAUGAUGGAAACACUUUGUAAGAAACUGUUAUGGAGAGGUUGUUAACUUGGAACAUUGAUAAAAAAAAUAUGUUCUAUAACAGUUGGCAAUGCCUCUAACAAUGAUGUUAUGGUUAGGGAGCUCAGGAAUCAACUUUGUAUUAAGGGGCUCCCAUUGCAUGGUGAUCUAUUUCAUGUGAGAUGUGUUGCUCACAUCUUAAAUCUUAUUGUACAAGAUGGGUUGAGAGAAGUAUCACCAUUGUUACAUAAGAUUCGAGAAAAUACUAAAUAUGUAAAGCUGACACCCUAUAAGAAGCAAAAAUUUGACAAUGCAAGAAGCCAAACAAAAGUACAAUAUAAGAGAGGGGUGGUUGUUGGUUGUCCAACGCGAUGGAACUCUACAUAUGACAUGUUGGACAUGGCUUUAGAGUUGAAGGAAGCAUUUUGUCAACUAGUUGAGGUUGACCAUGGCUACAAGAAUCUACCAUCUGAUGAGGAAUAAAAGAUGGGGAUAGUAGUACAGGAUUGUUUAAAAGUUUUUUACAUCUGCAUAAAAAAAUUCUCAAGUACUACUUCUCCAACCUCAAAUGUAUUUUUUCUCGAUAUUUGCACAAUUAAGCUUUCGUUGCUUCAAUGGCUAGAUAGUGAAUAUGAGUAUGUUCGUUCAAUGACAAAUAGAAUGAAGCAAAAUUUUGAUAAAUAUUGGGAUGAAUGUUCUUUGGUGCUUGCAAUUGUUGUUGUUCUUGAUCCCAGGUUUAAGAUGGAGAUUGUUACAUAUUACUACAAUCUCAUUUAUGGAGAGACUACUGAGAGGCAUUAUUACAAGAGUUAGAGAGGCACUAAAUGACCUAUAUUUAGAGUAUGCGGGUUUUGAUAUAGAGGAUAGGUCACUUGUAGACUCUAGUGUUGCAUCUCAGCCAUUGAAGAUUCGUGGUAUUGUAGAUUUUUUGAGAGGUUUUGAUUGGUGGUUGACUAAAGAGCGUUCGGAAUGCUGUCUAGGGACUCAAAAGUCAGAGUUAGAUUUUUAUCUUGAAGAAAAACUAUUUCCUAGAAGUGAAGGGCUUGAUAUUUUGAGAUUAUGGCGAGUUGAUGGUCUCAAGUUUCCAAAACUCUCUAGAUUGGCACGAAAUAUUUGGGCACUUCCAGUAUCCACUGUAGCAUCUGAGGGAACAUUCAGUAUUGGGAGCAGAAUAGUGGAUCAGUGUCGUACUUCAUUACUUCCAGAGACUAUGGAGGCUUUGGUUUGUGGGCAAGACUGGUUAAAAGCUCCAAUUACAAAAAAAAUUUGAUCUUGAAGCAGCCACUACCUCUCCUAUAUGUGUGACUUCUACAACUGACACUAACCGAACAUGUAAAUUAUGUAUUUCCUAUUGAUUUGCAAAAUGUUUGUCUUUAUGUAAUUUAACUAAGCAAAUGCUUUUGUUUCAGGAUAUUGGAGCAUAUGCCAUGCAUCUAGUUUGGACAUUUUUGCUUCAUGGUUUUGCAAGAACAUUGUUCCAGCAGGGAUUGGUAAUUUGACCCUGAUGCAUGGUCUGGUCACAGAAGAACUACUUUCUGCAAACUUCUUAAUUCCUCCUUAUAAAAAUGCAUUUAAUGGAAACUCUCUUACUGAACUUUGUUGUGAUUCUUUAAGAGAUUUCAACCCAAUGGUGUUUCUAUAGAAAAGGCGAUUCUUUAUUAUACCUCAUGUUAUCUUUCAAUUCAAUGGUUUACAUAUUCAUGUUUUCUCCCAACUUUGUUUAUAUACUUGUGUCAUUGUAUGAUUUGUAUCCCAAGAGUAAUCUCCUAGUGGAAAUCAUUUGGACC